GACGACCAUAUCACGUCGAAACACCGGCUCCCCUAGGAUCAUCAAAGUUAAGCAACGUCGAGCCUGGUCAUUACCUAAAUGGGUAACCGCUUGGGUAUACAAGAUAUUGCAA